rnacentral:lncRNA from 1 species
UCCGUGGGCAAGUCACCUGUGGAUAACCCGCGUGUUCGUGGGCAUGUGCCUGCUGAUUGGCUACCGGUUCCCUUUUGUGCCCACGCCCUCUGAGCCUUGGCUGCCCGCUCCCCGCAGUCACAAUCAGGGCGGGGACAAAUGGGGGUUUGCGCAAGCCUCUCCACCAGCCCCCGGACAUUCUUUAUGUUGUUCAUUUCAGAGGCAGCAUUUUAAUUGCUUUAAAUUGCUACUGGAGAAAUCCAAGUGGUCAGCGAUCAAUCAGGCUGAUUUACCGGCUCACGCCCACGGGAGGAGCCACCUGGGCUAUUGAGGAACUUGGCACGGCCCACUAAUUAACUGGAAGCACACACACAGCUGCGGGACCGCAGGGAGGGGCGGGAGGCGGGGCGAUGUCCCCGCCACCCUUUCAUUUCCGCCGCUCACCACGGGCUGCCCCUGAAACUCAGCCGCGUUGGGGACAGGAUGGCCGCUUCACCUCGGAGCCUCAGUUUCCCACUCUGUCAAAAGAGAAUAAUGACGCCAGCUGUAUGCUCUCACAGGGUUACUGAGGAUUUCAAAGGAGACAAUGAGGUCCUAGAGGAAGAACAGUCACAGGCUGACUCUCCAAGCUGGAAGGAAGCCACCACAUCUGUUCCAGUCCACACCUGCCCUGGGUCAGCUCUGCCACAGACCACACAAGACAUUGCUCAGCCACCAAUUGAAGAAUUCCAAGGAUGGGGAUGCUAUCAGCUCCCAAAGCAGCCCAUGCACACUAGGACAGCUCAAGCCAUUAGACCUUACAUGGAGACGCAACAAAUCUCUUUGUAACCAUUGGUCCUGGUUCUGCCUUCUAAGACGAAGAAGAACAAUCUGGCCCGUUGCCCUGUCUUCUCAGCUCCAGGCAAGAGAGAUCCCCAGUGCCUUCUGCCAGUCUUCCUAUGGAAUGUUCUUGACACUCUUCAUCAUCCUGGUUGCCCUCCUCCAGACACAUUUGCCAUAUCAAUGUUCUCCAAGAUGGUGACCCUACCUUUGUUGUUAUUUGUUGAUUGGUCAUUUUUCAGUCAUGUCCAACUCAUUGUAACCCCAUUUGGGGUUUUCUUGGCAGAGGCACUGGAGUGCUUGGCCGUUUCCUUCUCCAGUUCAUUUGACAGAUGAGGAAACUGAGGAAAAGAGGGUGAAGUGACUUGUCCAAGAUCACACAGAAUUAUUGUUGUUCAAUCUUUUUGGUCAAAUCCAACUCUUCAUAACCCCAUUUGGGAUUUUUGUAGCAGAGGUACUGGAGUAGUUGGCCAUUUCCUUUUUUUCCAGCCCAUUUUACAAAUGAAGAAACUGAGGCCAACAGGGUUAAGUGCCUUAUCCAAGGACUCACAGAAUUAUUGUUCUUUAAUCUUUUUGGUCAAAUCCAACUCUUCAUAACCCCAUUUGGGAUUUUUGUAGCAGAGGUACUGGAGUAGUUGGCCAUUUCCUUUUUUUUCCAGCCCAUUUUACAAAUGAGGAAACUGAGGCCAACAGGGUUAAGUGCCUUAUCCAAGGACUCACAGAAUUAUUGUUCUUUAAUCUUUUUGGUCAAAUCCCACUCUUUGUAACCCCAUUUGGGAUUUUUGUGGCAGAGGUACUGGAGUAGUUGGCCAUUUCCUUUCUAGCGCAUUUUACAAAUGAGGAAACUGAGACCAACAGGGUGAAAUGACUUAUCCAAGAUCACACAGGAUUAUUAUUAUUUAGUAUUUUCAGUUGUACAUGACUCUUCAUGAUUCCAUUUGUUUUUUUCUUGCCUGCAUACUAAAGUGUUUUGCUAUUUCUGUCUCUAGUUUGUUUUACAGGUGAGGAAACUGAGGCAAAUAGAGCUAAAUGACUUACCCAACUAGUAAGUAUCUGAGAUCAAAUUUGAUCUCAGAAAAAGAUGAGUCUCCCUGAUUCCAAACCCUGUGCUCUAUUCUCUGCUCCACUUGCUUCCCUAUUGUACCACCUACUACAUGCUCAACAUUGUGUCACUCAGAGGGAAUGCAAAGAUGAAUAUGACGUGGUCUCUUCUCCAGAAAAGUUUCCAGACCAGUUGGGGAAUUGUCAACAAAUGGCCCAAAGAAUUAAGACAGCUGAUGGUCUUUCUGUUUCAGGUGUCUCUUCACUCCAGUCCAUUAAGCUGCCAAAAGGAUCCUUCUAAAGUACAGGUCUCCUUACAUCAUCCCUUUGCCUCAUUCAAGAAACCCCAAUGGCUCCCAGUUACCCCCAGGAUUGAAUAUAAAAGCCUGUUUGGUUUUCAAAACCCUUCCUAAUUCCCCCCUCUUUCUCUUUUCAUUCUUCUUGCUCUCCUCCAUGCACUCAACCAUACCGCAAAACUGACCUUCUUGCUGUUACACAAAACCUGCCAUCUCCUGACUCCAUGCUUUUGCCUUGGCAGUAUCCCAUGCUUAGAAUUUCUCGUCCUCUUCCUCUCUUCCUUAUGGCUUCCCUGGAUUUCUUCAAGACUCAUAGAAGUACUGGGAUAACCAAUAUUCAACUCUAUAUAGUCGGUGGUGGGGAAUGGUGGGAGAAAAUCUGAAUCCUACAAUAUCCAAAAACAAUUGUCAAAAGUUAUUUCUACAUUCACUGAAAAAAGUCAAGAACUGUUGCUUUGAAAAGACUCAGCAAAAAUCUUACCUUCUGUGGGAAGCUUCUCCUGAUUUACCAUGAUGUUAAGACUUUUCCUCAGUUUACCCUGUACAAAUCUAGCAUGGACAUAGGUGUUUGCAAGUCAUCUCCACCUUUAGAAUGUGAGCUCCUUGAGAGCAGGGACCAUCCUUUGUCUUUCUUUGUGCCUCCGGAGUUUAAUACACCACCUGGUACAUAGUAGCCCUUAAUGCAGGAUUUUGUUGACCGACUGUCAUGAGUAGUAUGCCCAGGAUUAGGACACAGUGCCUGGAACAAAGUAGGAUUUUAAUAAAUACUGAAUGGAUGAAUGAAUGAAUGAAUGA